AUGGCACCGCCGGCCUCCAUGGUUUGCCUGCGCCCUGUCCUCCUCGUCGUCCUGCUCGUCCUCGUCCUCGCCGUUGGCCAUGGACGUGCGUUGCCGCUAGCCUCUGCUGUGCACGUCCCAUCUCCCAUGGUAACGACCCCUCUGCUCGGGAGCCGCACGUUUGUUGCCUCCUCGCAGGGUCUCCCCUACCCCGCCGCUCUCCUUCAUGCCGAGGCCUCCCCCUGCCUUGUUGCUGUCCACCAGAGGCCUUUUGUCUCGCGUUUGUUUUGGAUCAGCAAGGAUGAGACACCAAGAACCAUACCUGAACCACCAAGCUUUUCUCCAAGAAUUUUGCCAAGUACCAUGAUGAUGCGCCAAGUUCCUCUACGGACUGUGUACGACUACGUGGACCCGUCAAGUACCCUUUGGACGCGCCAAGUUCCAUGA
rnacentral:rRNA from 1 species